CUNACACACCGCCCGUCAAGCCAUGGAAGCUGGGUGUACCUAAAGUCGGUAACCGGCAAGGAGCCGCCUAGGUAAAACUAGUAACUGGGGCU
rnacentral:rRNA from 1 species